ensembl:snRNA U6 U6 spliceosomal RNA
AUGCACAAUUCAGCAACACGUACACUAAAAUUGGGAUGAUACAGAGAUUAACAUGGCUUCUGUGCAAGGAUGACAUGCAAAUUCAUGAAGCUCUCCAUAUUUGG